GAUGAACGCUGGCGGCGUGCCUAACACAUGCAAGUCGAGCGAAGCGCUUAAAUUAGAUUUCUUCGGAAUGACGAUUUUUGUGACUGAGCGGCGGACGGGUGAGUAACGCGUGGGUAACCUGCCUCAUACAGGGGGAUAACAGUUAGAAAUGACUGCUAAUACCGCAUAAGACCCCAGCUUCGCAUGAAGCGGUGGUAAAAACUCCGGUGGUAUGAGAUGGAGCCGCGUCUGAUUAGCUAGUUGGUAAGGUAACGGCUUACCAAGGCGACGAUCAGUAGCCGACCUGAGAGGGUGACCGGCCACAUUGGGACUGAGACACGGCCCAGACUCCUACGGGAGGCAGCAGUGGGGAAUAUUGCACAAUGGGGGAAACCCUGAUGCAGCGACGCCGCGUGAAGGAUGAAGUAUUUCGGUAUGUAAACUUCUAUCAGCAGGGAAGAAAGUGACGGUACCUGACUAAGAAGCCCCGGCUAACUACGUG
rnacentral:rRNA from 1 species